rnacentral:lncRNA from 1 species
CCAGGUUUUACUUCUGCACUAGCUUCAACAACUCGUCAAAAUGACCUGUCUUCACGAAAUCGGGUGUAACUCGUGAAUGCACCGUUAGAGUUUCUUGAAAUAACUUGCAAAUAAAAGCUAACACCUGUCUUCAGUUUGUGUCAAAAUAUGAGCAAGAUCUAACGGUGGAAAGUUGUCCAUAUGAUCUCAAACAUCUGACACUUCUACAUGAAUCUGUAUCUCCAAAUGUGUGUUUGCAUCCCAAAACGGCUCAUUUUAUUCCAAAACAACCUAAAACCUAUAAAUACUCUAUACUGGACUAAAAGACUCUAAAAAC